GAUUAAGUUAUUAAGGGCGCACGGUGGAUGCCUUGGAACUAGAAGCCGAUGAAGGACGUUACUAACAACGAUAUGCUUUGGGGAGCUGUAAGUAAGCUUUGAUCCAGAGAUUUCCGAAUGGGGAAACCCAGCAUGAGUUAUGUCAUGUUAUCGAUAUGUGAAUACAUAGCAUAUCAGAAGGCACACCCGGAGAACUGAAACAUCUUAGUACCCGGAGGAAGAGAAAGAAAAUUCGAUUCCCUUAGUAGCGGCGAGCGAAACGGGAAGAGCCCAAACCAA
rnacentral:rRNA from 1 species